UGGGGAAUAUUGCACAAUGGGCGAAAGCCUGAUGCAACAACGCCGCGUGAGUGAUGAAGGCCUUCGGGUUGUAAAGCUCUGUCUUUUGGGACGAUAAUGACGGUACCAAAGGAGGAAGCCACGGCUAACUACGUGCCAGCAGCCGCGGUAAUACGUAGGUGGCAAGCGUUGUCCGGAUUUACUGGGCGUAAAGGAUGCGUAGGCGGAUUUUUAAGUGAGAUGUGAAAACCCUAAGCUUAACUUGGGGACUGCAUUUCAUACUGGAAAUCUAGAGUGCGGGAGAGGAGAAUGGAAUUCCUAGUGUAGCGGUGAAAUGCGUAGAGAUUAGGAAGAACACCAGUGGCGAAGGCGAUUCUCUGGACCGUAACUGACGCUGAGGCAUGAAAGCGUGGGUAGCAAACAGGAUUAGAUACCCUGGUAGUCCACGCCGUAAACGAUGAGUACUAGGUGUAGGAGGUAUCGACCCCUUCUGUGCCGCAGUUAACACAAUAAGUACUCCGCCUGGGAAGUACGAUCGCAAGA
rnacentral:rRNA from 1 species